GGUCCGCGUCCCCAGAGCAAGACUGUGCUGUCCUGGAGUAGACGCAAGAAGGAAGCAUCUCGUACACCAAGUGCGGCAGGUGCAAGUGUUUGAGGCUGUCGGUUGCUCUUCCUGACACCUGCAGAGUCCAUCGCUGCAAUUCAGACCCAGGUGCUUGAAAAACCCGGCCGGGCCUUGCUGAGGACGGGCCACGUGUUUACGCCCAGAGCACCCACUCUGCGCCAAGCCCUGUGUCACAAGAUUCCAUGUGCUCCAGCAGCAACAAAGAGGAGACCCUAGCGGAUGGAUGAGCCAGCACUUUGAAGAGCUGGGUCCCGAUGCCAACAAUAAGAGGCGCUAGAAGAUGACUGAGGACGCUGGUAAGGUACCUGUUCAGCACCGUCUUACUUGAUGUGUGGCUUCAGUUUGCCCAGAUAUAAAGUGGGGUAAGUACCUCUGCUCUGCCUGCACCCCAAGGGGGUUGUAAGAAUCCGGAAUGUGAAAGUGCUGUGCAAAUUGCCACUUCUGGGGAACACG